rnacentral:lncRNA from 1 species
GGAGAAGGAAAGAGUAGACAGUUAUCAAAGGCAGUUUAGUUCCCGUUCCUUUUCCUCAACCUCCUCCCCCUUUUGAAAUAAAUUGCAUUCAGUGAGUGCUGUCCUUUUAAAGAAACAGCUACUUCCUAACAACUGAAAUUUGCUGCUUGACUACAAAGUUAGCAGGAUGUGUAAAUGUAGAUAAGAAAGAAGGAAAAAGGAAACGGCAUUCUAGAGGAACUGAUGUUUAGAGGGAGGAAAAUGAAGUAUAUACCAUUAGGACUUUAUAAAAGAGCUUAAGGAGACUGAUGAUGAAUAAUAUUGCCCACAUCUUGACAGAGACAGGAUGGAUGGAUCAGAAUGAGUUUCUCCAGCACAGAAUGAUGUCGCCAAACAAGAG